rnacentral:tRNA from 1 species
GGAGAGAAAUGCGUGCCUGGUGGCCGCCGCGGUCUUCAAAACCGUUGAGACUUCUCACGGGGUCUGGUGGGUUCGAUUCCUUCCCUCUCCGCCA